AUGACGGCAACAAAGGGACACUUGUUCAUAAACUUUAGUUUUGGGUUUUGAGAUUAAUUUUAGAGUGUCAUAAGCCAGGAGGAAAGUAACAAAAAAUGGUGAAAACUUCCAAGAUUGUACAAGAAAUUUACAAAAUCGCAUCAGGCUCAAGGGAGAAACUAUUACCUACAAGACUGAGUCAGCUUUUUUUGCCUGCUAAUACAAAUCUGUUAGAUACUAAAGCCCAGAUUGAAGGAAACUGUAAGAGCCAGCGGAUAUUGCAAACACAAGGUAUAGUUAUUCCAGCAGGCCCAGGUACAUUUCAUCUUCUACCCCUAGCAAGCAAAGCAAUGAAUAAACUCAUAGAUAUUGUGGAUAAAGAAAUGAAAAAAAUUGGAGGUCAGAAAAUAUUCAUGCCAUGUUUAACUACUGGAGACUUAUGGAAAACUUCAGAGCGAUGGGUGAAUAUUGGGGCAGAACUGUUUAAGCUGAAGGACAGACAAGAUCGGGAUAUUUGUCUAGGACCAACUCAUGAAGAAGCUGUAACAUCUCUUGUAUCAUCACUACCAAAUUUGUCCUACAAACAAUUACCAUUGAAACUUUACCAGAUCACUGCAAAGUUUCGUGAUGAAAUGAGGCCUCGAUUUGGUUUGUUGAGAGCAAGAGAAUUCUACAUGAAAGACAUGUACAGCUUUGAUAUAUCAGAGGAAGAAGCUCAGUCCACUUAUGCUGAAGUCUGUGAAGCUUAUGAUAGGAUAUUCAAGCAGCUCUGUUUACAUGUUGUGAAAGUUCAGGGGCUGACAGGAAACAUAGGAGGAAAGUAUUCUCAUGAAUACCAUGUCUUGUCAGAGAUAGGAGAAGACCAACUACAACUGUGUACCAGCUGUGACUUUAGAACAAAUGUUGAGCUGCAAGAGACUAUAUCAGUUUGUCCUAUGUGUAAAUCACAUAUGAAGAAAAGUCAAGGAAUAGAAGUUGGUCACGCCUUCUAUCUAGGCUCUGUUUAUAGUGAAGCAUUCAAUGCACAAUAUAUCAACAAGAAAGGAAAACCAGAGCUGCUACAGAUGUGCUGCUACGGUCUUGGAAUUACACGACUUAUGUCGGCUAGUAUUGAAGCUUUAUCAUCAAAAGACAAACUACAGUGGCCUUUAAAGCUUGCUCCUUAUUUAGUAUGUGUGAUACUACCAAAGGCAGCAAGGAAGAAAAAAGCUGUCUGUUUGGAGAACACGUUGCUAUGGCAUUAGCUGACUUCCCUGGUUUAGCAGACAAUGUUGUCAUAGAUGAUCGAACACAGCUGACCAUUGGUCGAAGAAUUUUAGACUGUGCCUCCUUAGGAUUUCCUUAUCUGGUUGUUGUAGGAAAACAGUCUGUGGAAGCACUUCCAAAAAUUGAGAUUCAUGAUGUUUACAACGAUAAAGUCCAUGUUCUAACGCAUGCAGAGACGAUGGAUUUUUUCAGGGAAAAUUGUGCAUC
rnacentral:misc_RNA from 1 species